AGGAGUUCGGGUUCUGCACCUAAAACUCCUGUUUCCUCUCCUAGAAGAGGCCUAGCAGUCCCGCGUCGGGAGCGGCUGGGCGGUGACAGGCGCGCGCAGACAGGACAGCGCGAGCUGGCCGUGACGGGGUUACAGCCCUGAGCUUCACUGUGAGCGUGAGUGUGCACCCCAUGUAAAAACCAUUUACAAGUCCUGGCUGCCUGACGCCAGGCUCAGUACUCUUCUAAAUUUAAUACCCAAGUACCCUGUAAUUCCAGGUACUCUGGAGGUGGAGGCAGGAGGAAUGCAGGUUCGAGCCCCGCCUUGGCAGUUUAGGAGACACUCUAAAUAAAAAAGGAAAAGGCUGGGGUGUAGCUCGGUGGAAGGAGUGCCCCAAGUCUAUCUGCGGCGCCAAACAAGUACAAACAAGCAAACGAAAAUCCCACUCGCCCCAAGACUCUAUUUGCACAUUAAGAAAUCACAGCCAGAAAAAUGGAAAAUCCCAAGGGCCUUCUGGAAAAUGGCCUGCCCCAGGGAGGGCUAAGGGAUGCCCUGACCCCAGCAGCAGCCCGGAAGUCUGCAGCCUGAGACAUCCCUUCCCCUCCCAAUUGUGCCCAGGUUUCCAGGACCUAAUGGGCCACCUCCCCGGGGAUGUCCUCUGGGCGUGCACCACCCUUCCCAUGGCCACAGGCUGCUCCUGUGGGCACCAGCCACUCUAGCUCACCCCUCAGGAACUCGAAACGGGACUGACCAUGGCAGCUCCAGGACGGAGGAAACAGGGAAGGACUGAGCUCCUACAAGCGGGCAUAGAAGCUCUAGUGAGUCCUGAAGCAGUGACACACUGUUCUGCCUGGGUCCAGAGGCUUACAGGGCUCCCCCGGCUCAGGGCAGCAGGCUGACACCAGGCAGUGGUCUGGAGCUGUGCAAAUUUGUUAGCUGUCCCAACUCAGAGCCCAUGGGGUCAGUCACGACUGCAACUCCGGGAGACACCCAAGAUUUUCAAGUUUCCAGCUGCGUCCCUUGGGCAGCCAGGAGGGUAAACAACCAUCCCUUUCAUCUCCUACACUGACGCUGGGACACUGUGUGUGUACCACCAGACAGCCACUUCAACCCCUAACAGAUAACUUGUGAGUGCACUCCCCACACUGACCUCUGGGCUGGAGACUCUGUGAGCUGGCAACUGUCACCCCUAAAGGAGCCCCUGCUGCAGCUUGCACACAGACACACCGGACUCAUUCUCCUAUUUCAGCGUAAGGUAACACGGCACCACUGUUGCCCACUGAAGAUAUGACCCCGACUUAUGUCUUGAACAAAAACUCCAAAAACAGCAGGAGCGCCUUUAGGCACUAGACACCUUCUGGAGAAUCCCCUGUGUCACAGCACUGCCUUCUGCUGCUUAGAAUGCAGGAGACGACUGUCUGCACCUGCCCCAGGCUCAGUUCCUGAGACCCUCUGUGCAGGGAGAAUUCUCUAACAAUGCACAUGACACAAAAUCACCCUGACUGCGGACCACGGCCCAUGUUUUAAGCACUCCCCACAGGUCACAAGGUUGGAGAAUAAUCUGAAGGAUUGUUCAUCACACACACAAACACUAGGCUUGAGGGCUUGGAAGGAAAAGCAUUUCUGUGGUUUAUUUCCUGGUACCCCAAAACCAGUGCUGGAAACUUACACUCAUACCCUAAACCACGGAGUGGGGAAGAACAUGUGGACAUGCAGAGCUGUUUUUUCUACUCAGCCUCAGGGCAGCAGAGUUGACCAGAAGGUGUGAAGGAGAAGAACAGAGGGAGGUGGCUGGUGUUCAUCAGACUCUGGAAAGUCUCUGAGAGGGGCCCAGCACCCUUACUCUCCACCACUGUCAAACAAGACAAACCCUGCCUUCCUCCCAGGGGAAGAGGUCUGUAAGGAAUUCUGGAGGAGAGAAACAGCACACAGCAUCUCUGCGUGUCCAGCGUGGCUUGAAGUGAGCGUCAGCCCUGCAGCAUUCCUGCCUGGGCCUCACAAAGACCAGCACUUCUCAGCUGGUCAGCUAAGCAGCCAAGACCCUGUCAGAGCCCUCACGAUGGAACCCUGGAAGGCCACGUGUGACCUGUGGGCCAGCGCAGACCCAUGAACCUCCAGAGACAGUGGUGGCCUUGAUCACCUGUCUCCUUCUUCACCUCACCUGCCCCAAAGGCAUCCACCCAGAACAAAAAGAGGGAGAGAACUCUGAAUGAAACUGUCUUGAGCCAGUGAAAACAAAACCGCCUCUGACUCCAGGAUUUGUUCUUCAUAUGCAAACAGGAAUUCACACGCAAAGGCCAAUUCAGUCGUAGAGAAAUAGAGUAUUACAUUUUUGCACACAGGGCCUCUGUGGUUCUGAAUUUUCUAUACCUAUUGAUGUUAUUUUUGGAGCUUCCAGUAAUCUCUCACGGAACCACAGCAUAGAUUUGAAACCGCUGUCCCAGAUGGACUUCCUCCUGCAGCCCGGCUUUUCUGUUUCCCCUGCACAUUUUCCAUCCAUUGAUCUCCAAACAACCUCUCUCUUACCUGUGUCUUUCACGAGUCUCCCUCCCUGCAACCGCUAGAUUUUGAUCAGCUCAACCUUGACUCUGAACAGUCAUUCGUGGGUUUCUAUGAUCAGCAUUCUGUUCUGAUUUCUCUGAUUCUGUAGGUCCUUUACCAAGCAGAAAGCCACAAGUGAACUAGGGAUUAGCCCUGAUCAGAAAGUAACUCACAUCAUGAGACUAACAAGGCAGUGAACCACUUCUUAAGCACCUUUGUAAGAGGAAGAAAAAAGAUGGACAGACCAUCUUUUUGGGUUUUUUGUCUGUUUGUUUGUUCUACUGCAGUUUUAACCUUGCUCAGUGAGGACAAAUGACCAAGAGAGGCCUUGUUAGCAUCACAAGUUAAUACAGAAACCGCGUGGCGGGUUCCAUCCCGAGGCAGACAGACUUGGUAACUUCCCAGCCCUGCUACCCCUAACAGAACCGGAUGAGUGGCCUCUCGCUCACACAGACACAGUCUGACUUCUGUUGGCUGAUGGCUUUAACAUAAAAAGCUUAAAGCACCAGUAACCAAACUGUCACCAGCCAACAGGCAGCCCAUCCAGGAAGCGCCAGAGGGAUGUGUGUGCUCAGCCAUGUGGCAGAUGUGUGACAAAGCACACCCCUCUGUGCACUCUCUAGAUUCUAGAUGGUUCUAGAUGUUUCCACCAUCUUGGCUUCCCUGCUCCUUUCUGUAACUGGUCUCUACAUUUUGUCUUCCACAAGCACCUUCCCAAAUCUAGACUUUCGUGUUGGAGUCUUUCAACUUUGUGAUUUCUUGCCAGUUUCUUCUCUCUAGGUGGUUUCCCUAUUCUAGAGAAGGACGGUCCCUUUGUAAUUUAGAGCAGCCAUAUUGAAUGUCUUCUCAUCCAAUGUAUGACUGAGGUGUAAUUUCCUCCUGCCUUGAAUCUAGGCUGAUCUCUGUUUAAUCAAUAAAAGAAAGUGGUACUGGC